rnacentral:lncRNA from 1 species
UGGCCUCAGCACGUCUGGUCACAACAGUCCCCCUACUGCACAGGAAGGCAGAGGGGCUAAUAAGGGAUUAUGACUCACCAUGGCCACUUCAUGAGUCAGCCACUAUUGAGACAACACCCAGGUCCCCUGCGCCGGAUGGAGACUUGUCCUUUGCCACAUGUCACCUCCCCAUUCUUUUGACUGAUGACUGGAGGGACUUUUCUACACUUUCCUUCAGGUCAGUUUUUGAAGGAAGAGGUGAGGAGGUCCGGAAGUAGCAGCUCCUCCCCCACCCUCUCCCCCACCUCACCCCUCCUCCUUCUCCAGGACCGUCCCUUGGGGUACAGCCAGGAAAGGCACCUCAUUCGCAAGCCACAGCAGUGACAAUGUGGACCCUUAACUUGCUGAGCCCACCAGGGAACUCCUCCCCCAAAGUAUUUUGACCCACAUCAUUUCAUCAGGGACUGGGUGGUGUCUCUCAGUAAAGACAGAGAAUGACAAAGGAAUUCUGAUAUAUACGCUCAGGCUAACAGAGGACAUUGGGGCCAAAGCCAGAAAAGACUCACGUACAGUGGUGAGUUGGAACUGGCUUGAUCUGUUGGGCGAGAUUCAAUGACAUCACUCGAGUCACUUGAAAUUGACCAGGGUUAGUAUUUACACCACGGGAAUUGGCAGAUGCUGCAAAUUUGGGAUUUCUCGUGUGAAUCGUGUGAGGGAAGGGGUGGACAUUGCCUUUUGGAAUGUGAGCAGAGCAUCACAAG